rnacentral:rRNA from 1 species
UGGGGAAUAUUGCACAAUGGGGGAAACCCUGAUGCAGCGAUGCCGCGUGGAGGAAGAAGGUUUUCGGAUUGUAAACUCCUGUUGAAGAGGACGAUAAUGACGGUACUCAACAAGGAAGUGACGGCUAACUACGUGCCAGCAGCCGCGGUAAAACGUAGGUCACAAGCGUUGUCCGGAAUUACUGGGUGUAAAGGGAGCGCAGGCGGGAAGACAAGUUGGAAGUGAAAUCUAUGGGCUCAACCCAUAAACUGCUUUCAAAACUGUUUUUCUUGAGUAGUGCAGAGGUAGGCGGAAUUCCCGGUGUAGCGGUGGAAUGCGUAGAUAUCGGGAGGAACACCAGUGGCGAAGGCGGCCUACUGGGCACCAACUGACGCUGAGGCUCGAAAGUGUGGGUAGCAAACAGGAUUAGAUACCCUGGUAGUCCACACCGUAAACGAUGAUUACUAGGUGUUGGAGGAUUGACCCCUUCAGUGCCGCAGUUAACACAAUAAGUAAUCCACCUGGGGAGUACGACCGCAAGGUUGAAACUCAAAGGAAUUGACGGGGGCCCGCACAAGCAGUGGAGUAUGUGGUUUAAUUCGACGCAACGCGAAGAACCUUACCAAGUCUUGACAUCCUGCGACGAUGCUGGAAACAGUAUUUUCCUUCGGGACGCAGAGACAGGUGGUGCAUGGUUGUCGUCAGCUCGUGUCGUGAGAUGUUGGGUUAAGUCCCGCAACGAGCGCAACCCUUACUGUCAGUUACUACGCAAGAGGACUCUGGCAGGACUGCCGUUGACAAAACGGAGGAAGGUGGGGAUGACGUCAAAUCAUCAUGCCCUUUAUGACUUGGGCUACACACGUACUACAAUGGCGUUAAACAAAGAGAAGCAAGACCGCGAGGUGGAGCAAAACUCAGAAACAACGUCCCAGUUCGGACUGCAGGCUGCAACUCGCCUGCACGAAGUCGGAAUUGCUAGUAAUCGUGGAUCAGCAUGCCACGGUGAAUACGUUCCC